rnacentral:rRNA from 1 species
AUGUCUGCAUCGAGUAAUUUGUUUUCUUCUUGCACACCUUCAUCUUUUCCCUCUAUUAGUCUCGGUGAUGGAUCUUUCUUUCCUAUUUACUGUGUCGGUCAGGCUCAAAUCCAAUCCCCAACUAAGGCUUUGCUUCUUCGUGAUGUUCUUUUAGCUCCUGCCUUUAUUAAAAAUCUUAUUUCUGUUCGCCAAAUCACCACUGAUAAUCUUGUUUCUGUUGAGUUUGACCCCUUUGGUUUGUCUGUGAAAGACUACCGGACCAAGGUCGAGAUCGCACGAUUCAAUAGCUCCGGUGAUUUAUAUUCUUUCCAUGGUGUUCCAGCCACUGCUCCUCCAACAUCUAUGGUGGCCUCUGUUGAUAUGUGA